UUCAGAACAAGUUAGCCCUAGAAGGUCUUCCGGUGAGUCACAUUCUGAGCAGAGAAAUCUGGCAUUGAGGCAUAAUUAACAUUCUGGGUUGCCCCCAGUUUCUAUGGAGAUGAGUCUAGCCCCUCGGGGGAGGAGUGAUGGAUGUGUAAUCUCCAAGAUAAGUAACUGACAGACCUGAUCUUUGCCUGGAGUGUAUCCCAGAACCAUGAUCAGUCAGGAACUAUGGAUUGCCUCAACUGGCCAGACUGAAACACCAGAGUGCUUAGUGCCACCAUCCAGCAAGAGCUCAAGGUAUAACUAACAUGUCUUAAACAUACUGGAGUUGAUCUUCAUGGCCCAUCUUAAUUCUGGUGAAAAUGUCCCUUCUCAUCUUACAAAAGCUGCCUAUAUGGUUUGAGACUGCAGAUUCAACCCCUCAGCAUCUUCCUACCCUCUCUUCACUGUCAGCCCUGUCCUUUCUGGGACAUGUGAAUCUGAAGAACUGUGUUCAAGUCCUGCUCUUCCUUUGGAAGCUCAAACUCUUCAUCUGUUAAGUGGGCUAAAGGAGACUAACUCACAGUGUUAUUGCAAGUAAAGUGGACCUAGGAGUACUUUGUAAGCAAUGAGAUAAUAAUGUGAGAGUUUAUAAUAGAUUAGAGUGAAUCAGGUUCUAAUGCACAAAUAAGGAAAACACUGCAGGAACAUAGAGGAGAGACAAUUAGGGAGAUCAAGUUUUGCAAAGCUGGUAUGGUGAACUUGGCCUUGAGAUUAAGAGAUCCCUAGGUAAAGCAGAACAUUCCAGAAAGAAAAAAAAAAAAGGCAGCUGGACAAAGUCUCAGAGAUGCCAAGAAGUCCUGUAUGUUUGGCAGAAAAUGAACAAGAGGAUUGGGGGAAGUCAUAGGUGUUGAUAAAUUAAGUACAAGUCAGUUCCUGAAGAGCUCUGUAUGCCAUAUUAAAGAGUUUGAGCUUUAUUUACAGAGCCACUGAAAAGUUUCUCUCUCUUU